AGUGGCGGACGGGUGAGUAACGCGUGAGGAACCUACCUCGGAGUGGGGAAUAACAGACCGAAAGGCCUGCUAAUACCGCAUGAUGCAGUUGGACCGCAUGGUCCUGACUGCCAAAGAUUUAUCGCUCUGAGAUGGCCUCGCGUCUGAUUAGCUUGUUGGCGGGGUAAUGGCCACCAAGGCGACGAUCAGUAGCCGGACUGAGAGGUUGGCCGGCCACAUUGGGACUGAGACACGGCCCAGACUCCUACGGGAGGCAGCAGUGGGGAAUAUUGGGCAAUGGGCGCAAGCCUGACCCAGCAACGCCGCGUGAAGGAAGAAGGCUUUCGGGUUGUAAACUCCUGUUGUUGAGGAAGAUAAUGACGGUACUCAACAAGGAAGUGACGGCUAACUACGUGCCAGCAGCCGCGGUAAAACGUAGGUCACAAGCGUUGUCCGGAAUUACUGGGUGUAAAGGGAGCGCAGGCGGGAAGACAAGUUGGAAGUGAAAUCCAUGGGCUCAACCCAUGAACUGCUUUCAAAACUGUUUUUCUUGAGUAGUGCAGAGGUAGGCGGAAUUCCCGGUGUAGCGGUGGAAUGCGUAGAUAUCGGGAGGAACACCAGUGGCGAAGGCGGCCUACUGGGCACCAACUGACGCUGAGGCUCGAAAGUGUGGGUAGCAAACAGGAUUAGAUACCCUGGUAGUCCACACUGUAAACGAUGAUUACUAGGUGUUGGAGGAUUGACCCCUUCAGUGCCGCAGUUAACACAAUAAGUAAUCCACCUGGGGAGUACGACCGCAAGGUUGAAACUCAAAGGAAUUGACGGGGGCCCGCACAAGCAGUGGAGUAUGUGGUUUAAUUCGACGCAACGCGAAGAACCUUACCAAGUCUUGACAUCCCUUGACGAUGCUGGAAACAGUAUUUCUCUUCGGAGCAAGGAGACAGGUGGUGCAUGGUUGUCGUCAGCUCGUGUCGUGAGAUGUUGGGUUAAGUCCCGCAACGAGCGCAACCCUUAUGGUCAGUUACUACGCAAGAGGACUCUGGCCAGACUGCCGUUGACAAAACGGAGGAAGGUGGGGAUGACGUCAAAUCAUCAUGCCCUUUAUGACUUGGGCUACACACGUACUACAAUGGACAGAGCAGAGGGAAGCGAAGCCGCGAGGUGGAGCGAAACCCAGAAAACUGUUCUCAGUUCGGACUGCAGUCUGCAACUCGACAGCACGAAGAUGGAAUCGCUAGUAAUCGCGAAUCAGCAUGUCGCGGUGAAUACGUUCUCGGGCCUUGCACUCAACGCCCGUCA
rnacentral:rRNA from 1 species